rnacentral:lncRNA from 1 species
GUAGAAUCGUAACCAUAGAAUACGACCCUAAUCGAAAUGCAUACAUUUGUCUCAUACACUAUGGGGAUGGUGAGAAGAGAUAUAUUUUACAUCCCAGAAGGGCUAUAAUUGGAGAUAUCAUUGUUUCUGGUACAGAAGUUCCUAUAAAAAUGGGAAAUGCCCUACCACAACUUGGUCUAUCCUGAUUGAUGAUUUCACCGCAUAUUUGACUGUCACUUAAUUAUUAUCAUCAUGACUUAGAUUGAUUGUCAUAUUUGGGCUUCGUGCCAACUAGUUGAACCCUCCGGGGAUUUUUAUCAUUAUUCCUCACUAUUUUAAUUUCUACUUGAACUCAGUCAUACCAUUUUCCACUAUUUUACAACUCAGCCACUUUUACUUGAUUUCAAAAUAAAAUGAUAUAUUAAAUGAUAUUUUGGGCUGAGAAUUAUUGUUUUACUAAUUCCCAAGGGGCUUAUGUGAUUUUUGGACUAAGUAUGGCCGAGGGCUAGAUGUGAAGAUACUAUGGGAUCGGGCUGCGUGCUGCAACAGUGUUAUACUGAUACUGAUAUGAGGCUGAGAGCCUAGAUUUGAUGACACGAGAUGGCUUGAUAUUGUGCUUGGGCGGUAAGGGGCCCCUCUCGGAGUCUUCACACCUCCAGUGAGCGCCAUCGACGAUAUAUGGAUUGGGCUGCACGUUGCAGUGACAUACGGAUCGAACUGCACGCCGCAUCAGGAACUAUAUGGUUAUGUUAUAUGUAUUGAAUUUUAUCAUAUUUCGCUUUUCAUUGGUUUAUUGCUUUUGUAUUACUUGUUUAUUCUACCGUAUCAUAGCUUACUUGGUGUUUCCGUGAUUUCUAAUUCUUAGUCGUUAUUUAUGCUUAUUACUCACUGGGUCGGAGUACUCACAUUACUCCCUACACCUUGUGUGCAGAUUCAGGUGUUCCAGAGGCUGAGUGAGAGUCUUUUCUCGUUGAUCAGCAUUUACCAGAGUUGUUAAGGUAGUUGCAUGACGUCCGCAGACCCGAUUUCUCCUUCUAUCUUAUUAUUUUUCCGCAUUCUUAUACUAACUAUGUAUUAGGAUGUUCGGACAUGUAUUAGAAGCUCUUGACUUGUGACACCGGAUCAGUGGGCUAUGUAGUGAUGUUAUUAUGAUUUUCGCACAUUUUAUCUAUUGUUUCAAACUUCUAUUUAUUUUAAAUUCGUAUAUUAACUCUGUUAAUUGGUAAUGAACUCUAUAAGAGAGGGGUUGUGAUUGGUAGUUGGUCGGGCUUGCCUAGAAAUAUGUUGGGCGCCAGCACGAUCGAGGUUGGGUUCGUGACAAGUUGGAAUCAGAGCCUAGGUUACUAGGUCUCACGAGUCAUGAGCCGAUUUAGUAGUCUCUUGAAUCGGUACAGAGACAUUUGUAUUUAUCCUCGAGAGGCUGCAGAACCUUUAGGAAGCUUUACUUUUUUUUUAAAUUCUUAUUGUCCGAGUUAGUGCAUCUGUGGACUAAGCUUCUGUUAUUCUAUUCUCUCACAUAUAGUGAGGACGCGCACUACCGGACGGGAUGGACGACCACCAAUGCCACCAUGCAUCUGUGGAUUUUCAUUUUCUUCGUCCUUUCUUCCUUUUUUUGUAUCUUUAUUUUUCUUCUCCUUUUUCAUCUUUUCUCUUCUUUUUUUUCAUUUUUCAUUUCAGUAACACUUUCAGGUUCCAAAGAGGGUAAUCAAAGAAGAGUAACCGGCUCAAAAGGUUUGCAAAUGGUUGAAUAUUUGGCUACUGGGAAAGAAAGCCUUCUUCAUCCCAACCAGAGAUCAUUAAUGCUGUAUAAAAGAUCCAACAUAGUACAUUUGUCUGCAUUUGCAUUGACAGUUGUUUUAAGGAUAUUUCUUCGAUGUGUCUCAAGUACAACGCUCUUUUUUGGCAGCAAUGUAUGGAACUUUUCCAUCUGGAACCAAUUUUUCUUCGGUUGUUCCAACUCUUUGUUUUAUUACCUUAUACCUACUUCAUUGCGAUCUAAUUCUUGAUUCAUUAUUUUGAAGUCUGACAUCAUUUUAGGAUCUGGGCAUGAAGUCCGAAGCAUGUCAUGUUAUUGAAAUCUACAUUUAACGAGACUAAAAAGAGAAUAAGAAAAAUGACAAAAUUAAGAAAAGAGACAUUCUUGGACAAUGAAAUAUUAAUUUCAUUUGAUUUUUGAUUUUUUGAUUUUUUUUUAAAUUUCAAAAGAUAGAAGGGUUAACAUCGGAAAGUAAGACAAUAAAGUAAAACAUCUAGAUCACAUCCUGAGAUACUCUGGAUGUAGAAAGGAUAGCAAGAUUGGCUACCAAUUCUCCCAUCUGAUGGGGAACGUUCAUGCUUGGCGAUCAUUUUUUUGGCUUUUUUUUUGCUGCAAUGGCCUUCAGUGCCGGAUCGAAUUCCUCAGCUUCACAAAUCAUUCUGAUUAUUGGGUCGAUAUUGUGGGCAGGCAACUGAUUGUUCAUCACAUCCGGAGCUUAUUCAUCCCGAGAAUAAUUCUUUCAGCUUCAAUCAAAUCUUCAACUGUCCUUUUGAGGGUCCAACAGUCCUCUAUACUGUGUCUCACUGCUCCAGAGUGGUAUUCACAUAUAGCAUUAGUUCGGUGCGAGGGGGACUCAGGGUUCGGCCGGUUCGGGGCCACUGGCUGCAAUAAAUCUAGUCUGAUCAGCUUUUGGAACAAGCUUGAAUAUGAUUCACCAAUAGGGGUAACUGACUCUUUUUGAAACACUCUCUUGGGAGGGGAUUCUAUUGGAGAUCAUUCGGUUGAGGAUUAUAUGGAGUUUGGUAAGGAUGGACAUUUCUAGGAGGUGAAGCUCGAUUUUGUGGCCGCGGGUAAAGUUGCGCGUUCAUCACCGCAUAGGUAGGCGUUGCCAUGGCAUAAGCAGCAUCUAGAAGGGAAUAAUAGUAUGGUGGGACGAUAGGAGGUACAUAUGAUUGGCUGGAUGACCCGCGGGUCCCCCUCGAGCUUGAGACCAUCAUGACUUCCUCUUCAAACCCAUAUUUGUUCAUCAAACACUCCAAACCAUUCUGAGUAGCUUGUGAUGUGGCCUUAAAGGCAACAUGACUCAAGAUUCGGCCCGUUUUAAACCGUUUUCAACCAUUUUCCUUAUUUUGAUAGCCUCAGCAAAUGGCUUACUCACAGCAGAUAUCAUGUUUUGGAAGUAAUCAGUCUCUUGGGCCUGCAGAAAGACAGUGACCAAUUCAACUUCAUCCAUUGGAGGCUUUACCCUGGCAACUUAUUCACGCUAUUUGAUAGCAUAUUCACGCACUACAACAAAAAUGGUCUUUAACGGCAAUAAAAAUUGCCAUUAAAAGUUUUACCGGCAAUUAAUUAUUUGCCGUUGUAUCUAGCGUCGCUAAAAGUUUUAAUGACAAUUCUGUCGAGUGCUGAUAAAGACACUAAUUAUUAUCGCUAAAAGUUAUUUACUUUUAGUGGCCAUUUUUUACUGGCAAUUACAAUGGGCACAAAAACUCCUUAAGAAAUGUGCUAGAUCAUAUGUUAGCAGGUUCUAUUAUUGCCGGCAAAAACCCAUUAAGUGCUGGUAAAAGUUGCCUCUUUUAAGGGUAAUUGUAAUAACCACUAAAACAACUCCUAAAAUCGCUUUUAUGUCUUCUAUAGUUGACAAAGAUUCAUUUUUCUAGCAAUCCUAAUUUCAAGCAAUUUUUGCAUAUUUUUCAUUAAGUUGAUCCAAACAUUAUCAAUAUGAUAAUACCUUUAAAAGGUUUAAAUAAAUAUAUACAAAGCUUUUAAUGGAACAAGACGAACUAAAAUAACUUCUAAUACAUGAUGUCAAAAUGUGAACAACAUAAAAAAAAUAUACCACUUGAAUCCAAUGUGAUUUCUAGUGUAACAAGUAUCUCUUCAACUCUUGAUCAUAAUGGAAGUCUUCCAUAAGAAAUUCCAGCUUGAAUUCCAUUUGUGCACCAAAAUGAUAAGAUAACCAACUCACAACUCGAUCUUUUUAUAGCUCUGAACCAACCUAGAACCUACCUUUGAGGAGCUGCACCAGGCUAAAAUUAUACCCCUAAAAACUCUCAACCAGUUGUCAGCAUGCACCAAGCAUGUUUGAAACUCAGUCCAAAAACAUUUCAUAACCUUGACGAAAGAAUCAUCCAUGAUUCAUUUAUAAGUAGUGAAUUCUGAUUUAGAAGAAGGCAGCCACCAACGAAUCUUCGAACCUUCACAUAAUAAAAAGAAAACUCCUCUUAGUAACUCAAAUCACAUUAAAUUCAUAUAAACUAAUAUCCAUUUAACUAAGCAGGACGAUGAAACUUUAAAUUGAAAAAGCUAG